rnacentral:rRNA from 1 species
GACGAACGCUGGCGGCGUGCUUAACACAUGCAAGUCGAACGGAAAGGCCCUGCUUGCAGUGUACUCGAGUGGCGAACGGGUGAGUAACACGUGGGUGAUCUGCCCUGCACUUCGGGAUAAGCCUGGGAAACUGGGUCUAAUACCGGAUAGGUGCUAUUUUUAUUGUGGUGGUUGGAAAGUUUUUUCGGUGUAGGAUGAGCUCGCGGCCUAUCAGCUUGUUGGUGGGGUAAUGGCCUACCAAGGCGGCGACGGGUAGCCGGCCUGAGAGGGUGGACGGCCACAUUGGGACUGAGAUACGGCCCAGACUCCUACGGGAGGCAGCAGUGGGGAAUAUUGCACAAUGGGCGGAAGCCUGAUGCAGCGACGCCGCGUGGGGGAUGACGGCCUUCGGGUUGUAAACUGCUUUCGCUAGGGACGAAGCUUUUUGUGACGGUACCUAGAUAAGAAGCACCGGCUAACUACGUG